AUUGAACGCUGGCGGCAUGCUUUACACAUGCAAGUCGAACGGUAACAGGGAGCUUGCUCCGCUGACGAGUGGCGAACGGGUGAGUAAUGCGUCGGAACGUGCCGAGUAGUGGGGGAUAACGCAUCGAAAGGUGUGCUAAUACCGCAUACGAACUGAGGUUGAAAGUGGGGGACCUUCGGGCCUCACGCUAUUCGAGCGGCCGACGUCUGAUUAGCUAGUUGGUGAGGUAAAGGCUCACCAAGGCGACGAUCAGUAGCGGGUCUGAGAGGAUGAUCAGCCACACGGGGACUGAGACACGGCCCAGACUCCUACGGGAGGCAGCAGUGGGGAAUUUUGGACAAUGGGCGCAAGCCUGAUCCAGCCAUGCCGCGUGUCUGAAGAAGGCCUUCGGGUUGUAAAGGACUUUUGUCCGGGAGCAAAUGCUGGUGGCUAACAUCCACCGGAGCUGAGAGUACCGGAAGAAUAAGCACCGGCUAACUACGUGCCAGCCGCCGCCGUAAGAC
rnacentral:rRNA from 1 species